rnacentral:sRNA from 1 species
CAAAAGCCUGUCGAAAACGGCUUUUGG